rnacentral:lncRNA from 1 species
AAAUAUCUGAAAUUUUGAUGCCGCUUUGCUCACAAUGUCAUCCUUUAUCCUUUAAACCUGGAGUUGUCUGAGGUGGUUUGCAAACUGCAAAGCGCCCUGUUCCCAAUGAUGCACCUGAGAAGUCUGUAAAUGGGGUAAAUUUAGGCAAACACACCUGGAAAAGUGGCAUUUUGGAGUGGGGAAUGCUGUGGCCGGAGGUUAGCAACCGGAUGAUGCAAAAGCGUAUUUAAGGCAGCAGUUCUGGCCUUUCCCCGCCACGGAGCAGAAGCCCCCAUAGUGAUGUGAGAAGCGGCGCUGUCCCAGUUUACUAGGAUGGGAUGGGCUUUGGAUCUAACCAGCAGCGAAGAAAACCUGCGGUGCGGCUGCGCUCGGUAGUAGGGGUCCACAAAGCGUCAGAAUCUGCAGCAGCCCCGGCCUUUGCGAGCUCCAGCUCCGAAGUCAACCCGGCCCCCAAAUUCCACUGGGAAACCUUAAGACACCGGUGUUUUUACCGUAAGAAGACCUCAGAAGCCCAUGGAAACAAGGCGAUGACGGCGCUUGAGGGUGACCAGACCUCCUCAAUCAUUCCAUCAGCCACCCAGGACUCAACAGCAGAACCUCAGAGGACUCAGCUGAAAGAGGUUUUCACUCGAGCACUAACCACAGAGAAAUGGGAAGUGCCAUCCUGCUGUCAUACGCAGCCGAUGGCUGGGUAGGACUAAAUGCCCUUCUGUGGUGAGAUGAACCAAGACGGCAGAUGGGGGAAUAACAUCAGUGAGAGAGAGAUUACGAAUGGAUCCUUGUAUUGCAGAUCAAACUGGGUUGUCUCUUCUCAAACCACCCAGGCAGUUUCUGAAUGUCCCAAGAUAGGGGUAGGAGAAAAGAAAAAAAAGACAAAACAGGAGACGGUGGGUAAGAAAACCUAAAAGGCACAAUGAGGCAAAGGCCUAAGAUGGAGGCUGGCUUUGGGAUCUGAAAUCCGGCCACAAUCCUCCUUGUUUUACCUCAAGUCCAAGAAUUGUCAAAAAGAAAACCCAGAAGGGCUAUUCAUUCUAAAUUUUAAAAUCUUUUCUUCCUGGCCUACCAAGUCCUUGUGUUUUCUUUCUAGGCGCCCAUAAAUACAACCCCAUUACAGUUCUAUUUGGCUAAUAAUUUACAGAACAUUUAAAAUACCGGGUAGGUGAACAUCUCUUCAUGGCUUUUGUGUAAGGGCCUGAAGCGAAGAGAAAAACAACUGAUUGGAGAUUCCUAUCUGGCGCCUUCUCCAGGGAAACUGACAACCAGAGAAAUCUGUUGCUAGGAUUUCUAGGACAUCUGGAAAUUCCCUUUUUGUUCUUUCUCAACAAUAUAAAAUGGUAUAUUCGCAAACCUAUCUGAAUCACCUCAAUCUAGGCCACUUUGAAAAUUUCAUUUAAAAAUGUAAUCACAGAUUUUUAAACUAAUUACCCAAUUUGCAAACAAAUCCCAGCUACUUCUGGUCUUGAACAUGGAGCAAAGGUGUGUCAGUAAGGCCAACAUUCUUAGGUUGACAGAGACAGGUUAACACAUUGGCUGGCU